GAUGAUCGCAACGGCUCUCGUGGUGGUAGGAAAGCGCAUGGGCAGGAUGGUGUAACCAUCCGGCGAUAGCCACCCAUGCGCGGUAAACAGGCUCCUGACGGGGCCUUUUUUUAUGCCCGAAA
rfam:Mesorhizobium ciceri biovar biserrulae WSM1271, complete genome.